rnacentral:misc_RNA from 1 species
GUUUCAGUUUUCCAUCCUUUCCCAAUCUUGUCUGGCUUAACCUUAGUAAUAACUCAUUCCAUGGCAACAUUCCUUCCCAUAUUAGCAAUCUAUCCAAGCUCAACAUCCUUGACUUGUCUGUCAAUGAAAUCUCUGGUUCAAUUCCUCAAGAAAUUGGGAUGUUAAAUUCUCUCACUUACAUUGAUUUAUCAAAUAAUCUUCUCACUGGUACAAUACCAC